AUAAACAUUUUAAUGCUUUGUAAAAAGUUAGAAGCUUUUUUUUUGAUAUGUCUUU
rnacentral:tRNA from 1 species